rnacentral:lncRNA from 1 species
GCUUCCUCACCUCACAAAGCUCUCCAACAGGUCAAUGUUUUUGCGGUCACUCACAAACUCUCCAAUCAUCUUCUUGUCCAGCCGAGGGUUCUCUCGGAGCCACUGAGCAACCUCUGUGUUGUCCAUUGGGAUGGUGAGGAGGCCUUUCUCUUGCAGAAACUGAAUCCCCUUCUUUGGUUUCUGAUUGAACUGCUCUGUGCCAGUGAUUAGCAGCUGCAUGAGAAAAACUAGAAGUUCCCGUGGAUCUGGCAGGAGACAGGAAAAUCGGGGUGGCUUCCGGGCAAACUUUUUGUCAGCUAGGCUUGCUGGGUGAGGCUGUUGAGGACUUUAGCCUGGCAGUGGGCCUCGGUGCUGUCAAUCACUGUCAAUAGGGCAUCAAGAGAUAGUAGGUGUGUUGUAUAGAGUUGACCAGACACAGGGAAGGCAUUCUGGAAAGUAAACAGAUCAAUUGGACUUCAGUGAUGAUCUCCAUAAGCUUUUUGAUGUACAUCU